rnacentral:rRNA from 1 species
GCGGCAGGCUUAACACAUGCAAGUCGAGCGGAGAUGAGGUGCUUGCACCUUAUCUUAGCGGCGGACGGGUGAGUAACACGUAUGCAACCUACCUUACAUUGGGGGAUAGCCUUUCGAAAGGGAGAUUAAUACCGCAUAAGACAGUAGCUGGGCAUCCAGCAGCUGUUAAAGAUUUAUCGAUGUAAGCUGGGCAUGCGUCCAAUUAGCUAGUUGGGGAGGUAACGGCUCACCAAGGCAAUGAUUGGUAGGGGAACUGAGAGGUCAAACCCCCAAACUGGCGCUGAGAUACGGGCCAGACUCCUACGGGAGGCAGCAGUAGGGAAUAUUGGUCAAUGGACGCAAGUCUGACCCAGCCAUGCCGAGUGCAGGAUGAAGGCGUUAUGCGUUGUAAACUGCUUUUAUACAGGAAGAAACGACUCUUGCGAGAGGCAUUGACGGUACUGUAUGAAUAAGCACCGGCUAACUCCGUGCCAGCCGCCGCAGUAAAAC